rnacentral:tRNA from 1 species
GGACCCGUAAUCUAGUGGUUGUGAAUCGCCACGGAGGUUUCACCAUAGAUGAUGCUCGCUUGACGUGCGAGUUCUCGUGAGUUCGAAUCUCACCGGGUCCACCA